rnacentral:rRNA from 1 species
GUGGGGAAUAUUGGACAAUGGGCGAAAGCCUGAUCCAGCCAUGCCGCGUGUGUGAAGAAGGUCUUCGGAUUGUAAAGCACUUUACGUUGGGAGGAAGGGCAGUAAGUUAAUACCUUGCUGUUUUGACGUUACCGACAGAAUAAGCACCGGCUAACUUCGUGCCCGCAGCCGCGGUAAUACGAAGGGUGCAAGCGUUAAUCGGAAUUACUGGGCGUAAAGCGUGCGCAGGCGGUUAUGUAAGACAGAGGUGAAAUCCCCGGGCUCAACCUGGGAAGUGCGUAUGUGACUGCAUAGCUGGAGUGCAGCAGAGGGGGAUGGAAUUCCGCGUGUAGCAGUGAAAUGCGUAGAUAUGGGAAGGAACACCAGUGGCGAAGGCGACUACCUGGACUGAUACUGACACUGAGGUGCGAAAGCGUGGGGAGCAAACAGGAUUAGAAACCCGGGUAGUCC